AAUAUUUAUUGACUUAAUUGUGGUGUUCUUGGUCCAAUACUGGAUGAACCUGUCGUUGAUGGCGUUGAUGUUGAUGAUGAUGGUUGUAUAUCACUUUGUUGUCUAGGAUUAUUAUCAAUAUUAAAACCAAUAAUAUCGAUAAAUAAUGAUGUGGUUAAUAUACGUGGUACAUUUGUCGAUGAUGAUCGUCGUUUUUUCGUCAUAUUUUGACAAUGAUUUUGUUGUAAUAUUGUGGAUAAGAAGCUUUGUUAAAAUAUCGGCCAACAUUGUUCUUAUGGCUGGAUAUAUUUUAUGUCCAUUUUUUCAACUAGCGAAAACCGAAAAAGCAUUUCUCCAGCACGUCAUUUUUGAAAGAGAUCUUUUUUCCCGGCAACCCAAUGCUAUUAUUUCCAUGGUGAAUAUUAUCAUCAUUGUUGAUGAUGAUGCAUAAUAUUGUUAUAAGGAAUCUUAUUUUUCUCGUUUUACAAAGAAAAAGCAAUCGAUUUGAUCAUGCCAACCUGAUUUUGAGCACUUAUUAUUUAUAUAUGUGUGUGCGUUUGUGCGUUUCCAAUAGAAUACAGAUAUUCGAUAUUCGAUUUUCGAUAAUCGCAACACUACAAUACGAUGGGUAAUCAAUCAGUUGUACGAAAUAAUAAUAAUGAACAUCAUGAAUCAUCAUCGAACGAAUUAAUUGAUUUAAUGAUUGAAUUUCAUUCAAA